AGUUUUGGCGGCCCAAGUGAGGAGCCGAAAGGCUCGCCGGUUUCUGCUCCGCAGGUGCGCCGGUCUUCCUACUCGCUUGGGCUGCCGCCCGG
rnacentral:antisense_RNA from 1 species